rnacentral:rRNA from 1 species
AUUGAACGCUGGCGGCAUGCCUUACACAUGCAAGUCGAACGGCAGCACGGACUUCGGUCUGGUGGCGAGUGGCGAACGGGUGAGUAAUGCAUCGGAACGUGCCAUUGAGUGGGGGAUAACGUAGCGAAAGUUGCGCUAAUACCGCAUAUUCUGUGAGCAGGAAAGCAGGGGACCGCAAGGCCUUGCGCUCUUUGAGCGGCCGAUGUCAGAUUAGCUAGUUGGUGAGGUAAAGGCUUACCAAGGCGACGAUCUGUAGCGGGUCUGAGAGGAUGAUCCGCCACACUGGAACUGAGACACGGUCCAGACUCCUACGGGAGGCAGCGGUGGGGAAUUUUGGACAAUGGGGGCAACCCUGAUCCAGCCAUGCCGCGUGAGUGAAGAAGGCCU